rnacentral:misc_RNA from 1 species
GUGAGUCAUCGAAUCUUUGAACGCACAUUGCGCCCCUUGGUAUUCCAUGGGGCAUGCCUGUUCGAGCGUCAUUUGUACCUUCAAGCCUUGCUUGGUGUUGGGUGUUUGUCUCGCCUCUGCGUGUAGACUCGCCUCAAAACAAUUGGCAGCCGGCGUAUUGAUUUCGGAGCGCAGUACAUCUCGCGCUUUGCAUUCAGAACGACGACAUCCAAAAGUACAUUUUUACACUCUUGACCUCGGAUCAGGUAGGGAUACCCGCUGAACUUAAGCAUAUCAAUAAGCGGAGGA